UACGGGGGGGGGCAAGCGUUGUUCGGAAUUACUGGGCGUAAAGGGCUCGUAGGUGGCCAACUAAGUCAGACGUGAAAUCCCUCGGCUUAACCGGGGAACUGCGUCUGAUACUGGAUGGCUUGAGUUCGGGAGAGGGAUGCGGAAUUCCAGGUGUAGCGGUGAAAUGCGUAGAUAUCUGGAGGAACACCGGUGGCGAAGGCGGCAUCCUGGGCCAGCACUGACCGCUCAUGCACGAAAGCCGUGGGGAGCAA
rnacentral:rRNA from 1 species